UGCGUAGGCGGAAUAUUAAGUCAGUGGUGAAAUCUUCCGGCUCAACCGGGAAACUGCCAUUGAUACUGUUAGCCUUGAGUUAGGUUGAGGUAGGCGGAAUGUGUAAUGUAGCGGUGAAAUGCUUAGAUAUUACACAGAACACCAAUUGCGUAGGCAGCUUACUGGACCUACACUGACGCUGAGGCACGAAAGCGUGGGGAGCGAACAGGAUUAGAUACCCUGGUAGUCC
rnacentral:rRNA from 1 species